rnacentral:rRNA from 1 species
AUGCAUGGCUACACGAGGUUGGUGGUCUGGCUGCUGCUCCUAAGCAGCUGUUCGUCGUACUUUGGACAUGUAACCAGUGAUUCCGACGUCCAAUGCUUGAAGGACCUCAAACAGUCUGUUAUCGAUCCUAAUGGCGUGCUCGAAGCCUCAUGGAGCUUUUCUAACAACGGCAUCGACGGUUACAUAUGCCGGUUCACCGGCGUGGAAUGCUGGCACCCUGAUCAGAACAGGGUUCUCGGGUUGCGUCUCGGCAACCUGGGACUCGAAGGUCCAUUCCCUCCAGGCCUCCAGCUUUGCAGCUUCAUGACCGCUCUUGACGUGUCUGGCAACAACUUCUCAGGGCCGCUCCCGGAACACAUCUUCGAGCAGAUGGCGUACACAACCUAUCUGAACCUCUCGAACAACAGUUUCUCGGGCGUGAUCCCUGCAAGCAUCAGGAACAUGACAUACCUGAGCACGCUCGCCCUUCAGCACAACCAGUUCGACGGCGGAAUCCCGGCGCAGCUGGGCAACACUUCGCAGCUCAUUUCGUUCAACGUCGCUGAUAACUCACUGUCAAGCCUUGUCCCGGACUCUCUGCAGCGCUUCUCGGCUGCCAAAUUCACAGGCAAUCCGGGGCUAUGUGGGCCGCCGCUGGACAAGAGGUGCAAGAAGAGGUUCAGGAUGCGGAUACAUAUUCGGCUUGUCUGGGUUCAAGUGAUGUUUGUCCGGAUUCAGAAGCUCCUGCGUAGUAUCAAUGACGCGUCCAUCACAGGGGCGUCGGCUGGGUUCAUCUUGGGGUUCGUGGUGGCCUUCUACUUUCCGCACAAGUUCUUGUUCUGUGGGAGGCUUCAGCCCUACACCUUUCGUGUGUGUGGGUGA